UACAGAGGUCCCAAGCGUUACUGAGAAUCACUGGGUUUAAAGGGUGCGUAGGUGGUCCGUUAAGUCAGUUGUGAAAUCCCCGGGCUCAACCCGGGAACUGCUUCUGAUACUGGCGGACUUGAGGCCAGUAGGGGUCACUAGAACUGACGGUGGAGCGGUGAAAUGCGUAGAUAUCGUCAGGAAUGCCGGUGGUGAAGACGGGUGACUGGGCUGGUUCUGACACUGAGGCGCGAAAGCGUGGGGAGCAAACAGG
rnacentral:rRNA from 1 species